GGGCGUGUAGCUCAGCUGGUUAGAGUACUUGCUCGACACGCAAGGGGUCACAGGUUCGAAUCCUGUCACGCCCA
rnacentral:tRNA from 1 species